rnacentral:rRNA from 1 species
CGGUGACAGGUGGUGCAUGGUUGUCGUCAGCUCGUGUCGUGAGAUGUUGGGUUAAGUCCCGCAACGAGCGCAACCCCUAUCGUUAGUUGCCAUCAUUCAGUUGGGCACUCUAAGGCGAGACUCGCGUAAUACCGGAGGAAGUGGGAUGACGUCAAAUCAUCAUGCCCCUUAUGGCCUGGGCUACACACGUGCUACAAUGGUUGGUACAACGAGUUGCGAGUCGGUGACGGCGAGCUAAUCUCUUAAAGCCAAUCUCAGUUCGGAUUGUAGGCUGCAACUCGCCUACAUGAAGUCGGAAUCGCUAGUAAUCGCGGAUCAGCACGCCGCGGUGAAUACGUUCCCGGGCCUU